rnacentral:rRNA from 1 species
UACGUAGGGGGCUAGCGUUGUCCGGAUUUAUUGGGCGUAAAGAGCGUGUAGGCGGCCAGGUAGGUCUGCUGUGAAAACUCGAGGCUCAACCUCGAGACGUCGGCGGAAACCAUCUGGCUAGAGUCCGGAAGAGGAGAGUGGAAUUCUUGGUGUAGCGGUGAAAUGCGCAGAUAUCAGGAAGAACACCCGUGGCGAAGGCGGCUCUCUGGGACGGUACUGACGCUGAGACGCGAAAGCGUGGGGAGCGAACAGG